UUACCUGCAGAAGAAGCACCGGCUAACUCCGUGCCAGCAGCCGCGGUAAUACGGAGGGUGCAAGCGUUAAUCGGAAUUACUGGGCGUAAAGCGCACGCAGGCGGUUUGUUAAGUCAGAUGUGAAAUCCCCGGGCUCAACCUGGGAACUGCAUCUGAUACUGGCAAGCUUGAGUCUCGUAGAGGGGGGUAGAAUUCCAGGUGUAGCGGUGAAAUGCGUAGAGAUCUGGAGGAAUACCGGUGGCGAAGGCGGCCCCCUGGACGAAGACUGACGCUCAGGUGCGAAAGCGUGGGGAGCAAACAGGAUU
rnacentral:rRNA from 1 species